UCUCUUUAAGACUCAACUCAGACACAAAGACUGAACUUUGGCUCAUGAUCCCAGUCCUUCCUUGAAGUAUGAGGCUGCUCACUGGAGUAACUGUGUUUCUGACCUUGGGGGCUGUGAUUGAUGCUAAGAUCACCCAGCCCAACUCCAUGGAUUAUGCUGAAGGAAAAGAUGUGAACCUGCCUUGUAACCACUCUACCAUCGGUGGAAGUGACUAUAUACAUUGGUAUCGGCAAAAUCCCAACCAAAGGCCACAGUAUAUAAUUCAUGGCUUACGAAACACCGUGACUAACAACAUGGCCUCUCUCAUCAUCACAGAAGACAGAAAAUCCAGCACCUUGAUCCUGCCCCGGGUUACCUUGAGAGACUCUGCUGUGUACUACUGUGCUGUGAGAGACACAGUGGGACAGAUGGGGCUGCACCUGUGCAAUAUCUCCCUGGCAAAAGAAGGUGGGGGAGGCAGCAGCUAUUCAGAGCAAAUCUAGAGCCAUCUAGCAGCGUCAGAGAGCAAUAUGAAAGGAGGAAAAUGAAGGGAAGGAAGCAGGAGAACAUUAAUAAGGAAAACAAGAGAGACAGGGUAAAGAGAGGACAAGGAAUAAACACUUAAUUUGUUGAUGUAGCUGAGAAGUAUGAGGAAACUAAGAAUUAUAAGGUUCAAGUAGCAAUAAAGUAAAGCGGUAUUAAGAAUUUGUUAUGGCUUCUCUGCAUGUCAAUAAAAUGUUGGUUUCAGUAUUUUAGCCUAAAAAAAAAUAUAAAGGAAAAGAAAAAUAAUUAUACUUGUCUCAAGGGUGCCUUUUAUUUGGAUGCAGAGAUAAGUCCAAGUUUGGAAAUGCAUGCUACUAUAGCUGUUCCGCUUAUCAGAAACAAAUUACUCUUUCUCUAAGAGAAAUCUGAAAUGUUAUUUUUGUUGUUGCUAGUCUAGAGCAUGUGUAUUUGUGAUAAAGAAGUUCUUUUGGAAAGAAACAACAAUUAAAUUAAUAUUAAUUUAUUUUUAAAUGUCUAGAAGUCCUGCAUCUAAAAAAGAAUUUUCAUAACAUUUUGAUAUUCCAUAAAAGAUUCAAGCAGAGCUAAAGUAAAAGCCUAGUUAUAUCUCCUUCAUUUCACUGCAGCUUCCACUGUCCUUCUCAGAGUUUAAGAUUAUUUAAAGUAUCAUGCCAGACUGAUUUCUUUCAAAUAAAUAAUUUCAUGCAACUACAUGCAUAUUUACACCCACAUACAACUUAUACACCCACAUACAACUUAUCAUUUAAAUUGGAUUUACUUGAGUUUUUUGCAACUUACCUUCUGUGUGUUUUUUUUAAAAUACUGCCCUAGAGAUUUUUCUACAGUAGAAAAAAAAAAGUGUAGAAGUCUAUUUCCUUCUUUUUUAUGGCUCUAUAGUACUUUGAAAAUUCCAUCAUUUAAUUAAUUACUUUCUUAUUUAUGGAUAUCUGUUUCUAUUUCUUUGCUGUCACAAAGAACUUUCUCAUACAUCUUUGUAUAUUAAUUUUUG